CAACAUUUGUGCCUGCCUGCUAGUCGUGGAUCUUGUCGGGUAGCUGCUACAUACAUAUUUUAGUGAAACGGCGCAGACAUUGCCGCAUACUCCGAUUAGACAUCAACUCAAAGUGAUACUGAGUUUCGAUUUUUAUUGUGUUACCGUGGCCGGUGUGUCUUUCCUUAAGUUUUGCGGUGAACUGCAACGGGGAUGUUAUAAUAACUACUUGACGUUCUAUUCGGUAAAUUCUCGCUGGCGCUGGACUAUGAAAGCUUACAGGUCCGCAAGUUGUCGAGCGACACUUGUCGCCUGAAUGGUAGCCUAUUCACUUUUACUGCGUCCCUGUCUGUAGAACUCGAUCAGAUAUCUAGCCUGUUAUCGCAUGUCAUCCGUUAUGAUCAGACACUUUCCAACUGCACGCUAAGCUAACGUUACCCUCUGAAAUGGAACAACAGACUUCAACUCCAUCUGAUCUGGUGGCUUUCUGACUUCACUUAAAAGGCUAUGAGUUUACAGUGAGAGCAUUUUCUUCAUUCAUCCCUUUUAGUGGAAUUCUAAGCAGUGGCCCUGAGCUUUUCCAUGCCCCCACAGAAAGCGGUGACCUUUGGUUUAUGCAUACUUUAUCUGGCAAUAUUUAGACUUGUUAAACUGUCUUUGGCAGUGGCUUAGAAGCCCCCUCAGCCACUUCUGGAAGGAUUGGCUGUCACACACCCCUGCCUCCCAGUACUGAGCCUGCCUGUGGCAUUUAGUGUGCAACAGCACUGGAAUGUUUUUUUUUUUCACUCUUCUGGAUCACUCCUUUACCUUGCCAACUGGGAACGGCUGACUAUGUACAUAUAUUUCCCUUUUCUGUAAUGUUGACUGGCAAAGUACCCCACAGCAUCGGUCCCUCCAGAUAGUUCCUUCCUAUAAAAGGGUUCCCAUUAUCAACAGUGUAGAGGACUAAUACUCAAGACUUUGAGUGCCUCACAGAAUAGUGGAUUAAAGCCAUAGGGUGUUGUGGAAAAAAGGGGAAAACAAGCAAACAUAAAUAAUAGCCUGAUGGUGUUACUUCAUACAAGGUUCAGCAAUAAUCUUUCUGGACAUUUUUAGAAAAAGAAGAGAGAACCUUACGAAAACAGAUGCCAAACCUUUGGUAAACUGUCAGUUAACAAUUCUUCCCAUUAUUAAUUGACUAUGAAUUCUUACAAAGUUGUGGUUUGUAUACUGUAUGUUUGUUAUUUUGUUAAAUUUGAUUUAGUCUAAACUGUUAUUUGUAAUGUUAUGUAAUGUUUAUUGAUGUCUUUGUAAACCACAUUGUAUGAAAGCGUCUGUGAAGUGCCAUAAACAUAAAUACAGAUAUAAGAGGCCUGGAAAAAUACCAUGGUAACUCUUGAUUAAAAAAAUGAAAUGUUUUAUUUGAA